CCUACGGGUGGCAGCAGUGAGGAAUAUUGGUCAAUGGCCGGAAGGCUGAACCAGCCAUGCCGCGUGAAGGUCAGUGCCCUAUGGGCGUUACACUUCUUUUGUGCGGGAGCAAUAAUGGUCACGUGUGGCCAGACGAGAGUACCGUACGAAUAAGCAUCGGCUAACUCCGUGCCAGCAGCCGCGGUAAUCCGUGGGAUGCAAGCGUUUUCCGGAUUUAUUGGGUUUAAAGGGUGCGUAGGCUGUGAGGGAAGUUAGCGGGGAAAUGCCACCGCUCAACGGGGUGAAGUGCCAUUGAUACUGCCUUGCUGGAAUGCGGAUGCCGUGGGAGGAAUGUGUGGUGUAGCGGUGAAAUGCAUAGAUAUCACACAGAACACCGAUUGCGAAGGCAUCUCACGAAUCCGCGAUUGACGCUGAUGCACGAAAGCGUGGGUAUCAAACAGGAUUAGAUACCCCAGUAGUC
rnacentral:rRNA from 1 species